GAAAAAGUAACGAUUACUUCUGUGUUACACGAAGGAUAAUACGAAACUAAAGUGUCAUAAACCAAUGAACGUAUUCCCUUUUACACAGGGGUUCUCAAAUAAUGUUAAACGUUAUAUUACAAUUUUGUUUGACAAUGUGAUAGAACGAAAGAAGGAGGAAAGAAAAUUGUACGAAAAGUCGGUCGAGUCGAUAACAAGGGGGAACUUUGAAAAGACGCGAACUCGUUAAAGGACGAUAGUGUACCGAUCGAGGAUACUGUAUAAUAGUAAGAUUUUUCAAUAUAUUUAUUCGUAUGGACAAGUUGGAGCAUAGUGCACAAUAUAGUUAAUAUAUAGUAGUCUGAGGAAGGGGUCAGAUUACAUUCUGGAGUUUGAACACAAUAUCUUACAAUUUAACGACAAGAUGCCUGCGUUUUUGUAUUUGCUUCUGUACGUAAUGUUACUCGUAUAUUCAUAUAUUCGAAGUGUAUAAUAUAUAAAGCGUAACGACUCACUAUUUUUAUCAUUCUAAAAAAAUGGAGACAAGAAUACGGGUCCUUGUUUAUUACGUUACGUUAAUAUGUCAGUCCAUCUUAUGUUGUCAUUUAAUUUAUUCGUUUGAGGAUUUUCGCAAUGGAUUAUGCAACAUCGUGGCAAAUACGUAGUACUCGCUAGAAUAUAUCCUUAGUCGGAGAUUGUCUCCAAUUAUUAAUUACAACGUUUGUAUCUCGUUUGCGUUGAGAGGAAGUAUCAACAAGUUCGACAUCGAUCAGCGCAGUGCCGAUCUUUACGCGGGAGAUCGAAACGAUAACCGAUCGAACGUAGGAAGGAGCCGGUUUCAACGAAAACAGGAGAAAAGUUUAAAACGUAAUCGUUGAGCGUAAUACGUGGUAAAUUUAUUGCCUGCAAAAUGGGGGUUUUUCGUCAGUACGAUUCGAACGGACAACGUAAGAAACGUGUUGCACGAGGAAUUUGCGAUACGCGAACGUGUAUAGUGUAUUCGACCAUUGGAGACAGCUCCUUUUUUCGCGCAAUUAGCGAUUAACAAUCUAUAUUAAAUUUUCGUUUAAAAGCAAAUACACUUUACAGCCUAUACAAUUCAUACAAGUUGAUUUUUCAUCCCUCUUUUGUUCUCUUAGUAUUUCUUCUUUUCUUUUUUUUCACUUUUUUCCAUUUAAUCGUUUUUCUUUAAUAUCCUCUACUCGAAUUUAAAUUUGUGGAGAGCGCAGGGCAGGUCCAGGUACUUAGGCUAUCUGUAUAUUUUCAUAAAAAUUCGUCAAGAUCUUCGGCUUUUCCUUACUAUGAUUCGCGUAUCGUUCUUCUCUGUUUUUUUCUUUUUAUUUUUUAUAAAAAUCACA